CCCCUCUUCCUGUUCACGCGAGGGAGAGCCGCCGCUGCCUCCUCCCCUUCCAACCUCCUGCUCCGACCCCGCAGAGGGCGCGUCCAUGGCCAGAGCGGAGGAGGAGAUCCAGGCAAAGCGCGCCAUCCCCAUCGCCACGGCGCCGACCUUCGUCGAGCCGCUCGUCAUCUUCCUCGUCCUCGUCGUCAACGCCGCCGUCGGCGUCUGGCAGGUGGACUCCGGCGGCUCCUCUCCGUCUUCUUCCUCGUCCCCACGCGCGGCUCCACUUCCCGCUGGCCAUGGGGUGCAGCCUUAUGGGGCACAUCGGGCUGAUGCGGAUGCGGCUUCAAGCUCGUCGUGAGAGCAGCGACAACGAUGAGCUCACCAGUCCUUCCUGCUGCACCUGCUAGACCUCCAGUUUUGCAGGACACACAUAUCAAACUCCAAUUGUACCUCAUCCGUGUCUUUCCAGGCCCAUGCAAUCUUUUGUCAAGAACAUUGUCAUUUCAGUGGUUGUCAUCAUGUAAACAGUGGGCUCAUCUGUUUGCUGCUUGUGCUACUAGAGACAAAUUAUGAAAGGAGCGACAAUCGAUGACCCGAUCUACUUCAGUGAUGAUAAAGAUACGUUCAAUGAUGCUGCGUUCGAGAUGCUGGUUGGUUCAGUUAUUCAGAUAAAGUUGAUGUAUCAAUCUACUCUCACUCUUUUUACGGAUCCAACCAUGGCUACAACAUGAAAGGGGGCAAGGAUCAGUGACCCUAUACACAUCAGCGGUGAGAAAGUUGGUGUAUUGCCAUUCUGGAGGGCUUCGACUUAAUCCGAACUUUUUAUAAUUGUGGAGAAGUCUGCCUUCGCCUCCUUGGUACCUGGAGUGGUAGUGGUUGCGAGAAGUGGAACUCAGCUCACUCAACAAUGCUGCAGGUGCUUGUGUCCAUUCAGGCUCUCAUUUUGAAUGAGAAGCCAUACUUCAAUGAGCUGGGAUAUGCAGGCUCUGCGAAUACCGCAACUGGAUAACAACAUUCCAUGGUACAACAAGACCACAUUUCUGCACUCUUGUAGGACUAUGUUGUGUUCACUUAGAAGACCUCCGGAGCACUUUGGAGACCUUGUCGCCGGCCACUUCCAGGAACGUGGACGCACCAUUCUGGCAGCAUGCAAACACUACCUAGCGGGUAAUAUGGUUGGAUCGCAGGUCCCCAAAGAGGAAGAAGCGGAAUACGACGGGCAACCUAGGAGGCAUCUCCUUCUGAGCGGCUGGAGUGUCUUUGUCAGUUCCUGAACACCAUAUAUUUGUACUCCUGAACACCAUAUAUUUGUACGGCAACAGCUGGUGAAGCAGCUUGGAUCUCAUUGGCUCAUCAUGAGGUAUAUACUGGAUAUGUCCCUAUGGAUUACAGAUAAUAUCUUAAGAAGAUACCAAAGUCAGUGCCUGCUCCUUUUCACUAUUUAUUUACCAGCAAAUAUUUAUCAAUUAGAGUGGAAGGAUGAACUCUUCUUACAUUUGUAUGCUUAUUACUGAACCAACUAGAGAUGGACAGUGAGGUGAUCAUGUUACACUGCAGGCUGCCGCGGACUUGAUUGGUGAACUCAAGAGGCUGUUGGAGGGAGGUCAAGUAUGUUGGGUUAUAGAGGCGAGCCCCGACACCAUCAGGCAUUCUUACAUUGUGCACCUGAUCUCUACCAUGUAGAUGGAAUUGUCUAUGUGGGCUUGCCCAAGAUUGCUACUCUCUGCAGGUGAAUUGGGCACUUUACAAACUCGACUUCUAUGCUUCCAUAAACAAUAGUCCUGAUCGAAUGAGUUGUAUUGGUGAUGUAAACUCGCUUCAUGUACAUAAUCAACGUGACUUACUGUGCACAUAUAAGCUAUGAUAUAUUGUUCAUACGCUUCCUAUUUCUGUGACUCAUCAUCUGGAUGGCAGAGUAAUAAUUAGUUGUG
rnacentral:rRNA from 1 species